rnacentral:misc_RNA from 1 species
GUGCAUUUCUCCUUGUAACUCUUGAUGAACAACUAGACCCAUCUGUGGAUUCACAAAGAUUUGGGUUUUGAAGGUAUGAAUUCGAAGACACAGUUCUGAAAAAUGGUGUUACAGGAAUAGGACCUGAAAAGUUGUUGCAAGAGAUAUUAAGGGAAGUGAGGCUAGUAAGAGAACCAAGAACAUUAAUCUUUCCAUAAAGCAAAUUAUGAGAAAGAUCAAUUGAUUGCAACAGGGUCAAACUCGACAUUGUCUCAGGGAGUUCUCCAUUAAAUGCAUUUGAGCUCAAGUCCAAACUGAUGGUUAAGCUAGUCAAAUAACCAAUUUCUG